GCUCAAUAAACCAAAACAUGGUGGAAAAUCACAAAAUAGUCCUCAAUAUAAGAUAUGCCAGAAGCCUCCACCAGCCAAAAUGUAUCAUAGUUCAUCACCAGGUUCAUCUAAAAAGCACUCGUGCACGCCGCAAAAAUCCAUCAGUCCUAAAAGAAUUAGAACACUCUCUCCAUUGAAACACUCACCGGCAUCUUUUUCAGCGAAUGACAACACAACUUCAAGUAAUCCUGAAGACGAUCUGAUACACAAAUUUAAUAAUACUUUUAGAUAUUUGGGUGAUAUUUUGGCUCUCAAUAAUGAC
rnacentral:lncRNA from 1 species